AUGGCUGUCCUGGUGCUGCUCCUCUGCCUGGUGACCUUUCCAAGCUGUGCCCUGUCCCAGGCGCAGCUGAAGGAGUCAGGACCUGGCCUGGUGCAGCCCUCACAGACCCUGUCUCUCACCUGCACGGUCUCUGGGUUCUCAUUAACUAACUAUGGUGUACACUGGGUCCGCCAGCCUCCAGGAAAGGGUCUGCAGUGGAUGGGAAUAAUACGAUAUAAUGGAAACACAGCGUAUAAUUCAGCCCUUAAAUCCCGGAUCACCAUCAGCAGGGACACCUCCAAGAGCCAAGUUUUCUUAAAACUGAACAAUCUGCAAACUGAGGACACAGCCACUUAUUACUGUGCCAGAGACACCUACAUUUAUGCAAUGGACUAUUAC